GACGAACGCUGGCGGCGUGCUUAACACAUGCAAGUCGAACGGAAAGGCCCUGCUUUUGUGGGGUGCUCGAGUUGCGAACGGGUGAGUAACACGUGAGUAACCUGCCCUUGCCUUUGGGAUAACUUCAGGAAACUGGGGCUAAUACCGGAUAGGAGCUCCUGCUGCAUGGUGGGGGCUGGAAAGUUUCGGCGGUUGGGGAUGGACUCGCGUCUUAUCAGCUUGUUGGUGGGGUAGUGGCUUACCAAGGCUUUGACGGGUAGCCGGCCUGAGAGGGUGACCGGCCACAUUGGGACUGAGAUACGGCACAGACUCCUACGGGAGGCAGCGGUGGGGAAUAGUGCACAAUGGGAGGAAGCCUGAUGCAGCCACGCCGCGUGCGGGAUGACGGCCUUCGGGUUGUAAACCGCUUUCGCCUGUGACGAAGCGUGAGUGACGGUAAUGGGUAAAGAAGCACCGGCUAACUACGUG
rnacentral:rRNA from 1 species